rnacentral:rRNA from 1 species
UACGGGGGGGGCAAGCGUUGUUCGGAAUUACUGGGCGUAAAGGGUCCGUAGGUGGCCAACUAAGUCAGACGUGAAAUCCCUCAGCUUAACUGGGGAACUGCGUCUGAGACUGGAUGGCUCGAGUGCAGGAGAGGAAUGCGGAAUUCCAGGUGUAGCGGUGAAAUGCGUAGAUAUCUGGAGGAACGCCGGUGGCGAAGGCGGCAUUCUGGACUGCAACUGACACUGAACGACGAAAGCCAGGGGAGCAAACGGG